AGGGUUCGAUUCUGGCUCAGGAUGAACGCUGGCGGCGUGCUUAACACAUGCAAGUCGAACGGGAUCCAUCAAGCUUUGCUUGGUGGUGAGAGUGGCGAACGGGUGAGUAAUGCGUGACCGACCUGCCCCAUACACCGGAAUAGCUCCUGGAAACGGGUGGUAAUGCCGGAUGCUCCAGUUGAUCGCAUGGUCUUCUGGGAAAGCUUUCGCGGUAUGGGAUGGGGUCGCGUCCUAUCAGCUUGACGGCGGGGUAACGGCCCACCGUGGCUUCGACGGGUAGCCGGCCUGAGAGGGCGACCGGCCACAUUGGGACUGAGAUACGGCCCAGACUCCUACGGGAGGCAGCAGUGGGGAAUAUUGCACAAUGGGCGCAAGCCUGAUGCAGCGACGCCGCGUGAGGGAUGGAGGCCUUCGGGUUGUAAACCUCUUUUAUCGGGGAGCAAGCGUGAGUGAGUUUACCCGUUGAAUAAGCACCGGCUAACUACGUGCCAGCAGCCGCGGUAAUACGUAGGGUGCAAGCGUUAUCCGGAAUUAUUGGGCGUAAAGGGCUCGUAGGCGGUUCGUCGCGUCCGGUGUGAAAGUCCAUCGCUUAACGGUGGAUCCGCGCCGGGUACGGGCGGGCUUGAGUGCGGUAGGGGAGACUGGAAUUCCCGGUGUAACGGUGGAAUGUGUAGAUAUCGGGAAGAACACCAAUGGCGAAGGCAGGUCUCUGGGCCGUUACUGACGCUGAGGAGCGAAAGCGUGGGGAGCGAACAGGAUUAGAUACCCUGGUAGUCCACGCCGUAAACGGUGGAUGCUGGAUGUGGGGCCCGUUCCACGGGUUCCGUGUCGGAGCUAACGCGUUAAGCAUCCCGCCUGGGGAGUACGGCCGCAAGGCUAAAACUCAAAGAAAUUGACGGGGGCCCGCACAAGCGGCGGAGCAUGCGGAUUAAUUCGAUGCAACGCGAAGAACCUUACCAAGGCUUGACAUGCACGGCGGCACUGCAGAGAUGUGGUGGCA
rnacentral:rRNA from 1 species